rnacentral:pre_miRNA from 1 species
AGUGGGAUAGCUGGGUCAAAUAGUGGUCAAUUUCAAGUUUUCUGAGGAAAUGCAUACUUCUUUUGAUAGUGUUUGCACCAAUUUGCAGUCCCACCAGCAAU